UCGGGGAACGAUAACGGCGUCGAGCGGCGGACGGGUGAGUAAUGCCUAGGAAAUUGCCCUGAUGUGGGGGAUAACCAUUGGAAACGAUGGCUAAUACCGCAUGAUGCCUACGGGCCAAAGAGGGGGACCUUCGGGCCUCUCGCGUCAGGAUAUGCCUAGGUGGGAUUAGCUAGUUGGUGAGGUAAGGGCUCACCAAGGCGACGAUCCCUAGCUGGUCUGAGAGGAUGAUCAGCCACACUGGAACUGAGACACGGUCCAGACUCCUACGGGAGGCAGCAGUGGGGAAUAUUGCACAAUGGGCGCAAGCCUGAUGCAGCCAUGCCGCGUGUGUGAAGAAGGCCUUCGGGUUGUAAAGCACUUUCAGUCGUGAGGAAGGUGGUGUAGUUAAUAGCUGCAUUAUUUGACGUUAGCGACAGAAGAAGCACCGGCUAACUCCGUGCCAGCAGCCGCGGUAAUACGGAGGGUGCGAGCGUUAAUCGGAAUUACUGGGCGUAAAGCG
rnacentral:rRNA from 1 species